ensembl:snoRNA U3 Small nucleolar RNA U3
AUGAUUAUACUUCCUAUAGUUUCUGAUUUGAGAAAUGUAUUUCUAAAGUGUAUGGUCUCACUAACCACGACGAUGACUUGUGAUACUUCCUUCCAAGCAUGAAAUAGAUAGAACAAUCAGCUUGUCACUGAUGAUUGCUCUUUGGUUCCUUGUGGUGCAUUGAUGAAAGGAAUACGGUCUGAAUGGU